AUAGUGUGUGUUGGUGUUGGGGGGUUGAGGAAGAGAAAAUAGAGUGGAGAGAAGGAAAUAAUUUGUUAUGGGUAUGAGGUUAGAAAAGUCAUUUCUGCAUUUAAAUUAGUCAUUAUAAAGGUCAAAGGGUAAAAAUGUUAAUUUAUUACCAUUGGGAUGUCUUUGGCAGAUGUAUCAAACUUUAGGGGGUGUCAUUGUCUAAAAAUAGGCAAACUUUUCUUUGAGUGUCCUUUUGGCAAACCUUAGGGGUGUUACUGUAAUUUAUCCCUUUUAUUUUUUAUUUAUUUUUAUUUUUUAUGUUUCGUUACUAUUCUUCUUCCUCUGGAUGGUCUUGUUUUCCUAUUUCGGGUUGAUUUUUGUACUUCGAUCCGAAAACCCUAGUUCUGAAAUUACAGUUUUGUAACUUUGAUGAGUUAAUUUUUAUGUUGUGUAUAAUUUUUGGUUGAAUUUUAUGCUUCGAUCUGGAAACCUACUUCUGAAAUUAUAGUUUUGUUACUUCGAAGAGGUUUGUUUUUAUUUUUUUGUUUUUUAUGUUGUGUAUAAUUUUGGGUUUAUUUUUGUCUUCAAUUUGGAAACCCUAGUUAUAAAAUUACAGUUUUGUUACUUCAAUGAGCUGAUUUUUAUGUUGUGUAUAAUUUUGGGUUGAUUUUUGUGUUCAUAUCAAUUCAAAAUGACAACCCUUACAAUUCUUCCUCUGGAUGGUCGUGAUUUCCUAUUUAAUCUUAAUUUCUUUUUCGAUUUGGAAACCUUAGUUCUGAAAAUACAGGUUUGUUUUUUUGAUAAGUAUUUUUUUUUUUUAAGUUGUGUAUAAUUUUGGGAUCUUGUUUGUGUUGAUAUCAGUUCAAAAUAACAACCCUUGGUUUCUAUUUGAACUGAGUUUCCUACUGUUUUCAAUCUUAAUUUUUUAUUCCAUCUGGAGACUAGUUCUGAAAAUAGAGGUUUAUUUUUUUAUGAGUUUUAUUACUUGUGUAUCUAUUUUGGCUUGAUUUUGUGUUUUAAUAGGGUUUCGAUUUGAACUAAGCUCCCUACUGUGAAUGUUUUAUUGCAAUUUUAUUUGUCUACACAUAUAACUCUCUGCAAACUCACUUCAACUUGUAACUUUUUUUUGUUUUAAAAAUAUUUUGUGAUUGCUUCUCGGUGAAAGUUAUAAACUUUUGUUAAUAUUUCUUCUUAAAUUGUUCAUUUGUACUGAACCUCAGUUUUUUUGUACAACUAUCUGCAAACUGAAUAGACCUUGUAAUUUUUGUUUAUUACUUCAAAAUCUGUUUUUGUGUGUUGUUUGUAUCAUGCUACCUAUAUCCAUUUUCUUUCUGUAGUGCAUGGUAGUUGCAAUGUAAUUUCAAUUUAUUAAACUGUGUAUCAUGGUACUUAUAACAAUUCUGUUUAUUAGAUGGAUCUUAAUCCCAAUAAUGUAUAUGCAAACUGAAUUGACCUUGUAAUUUUUGUUUAUUACUUCAAAAUCUGUUUUUGUGUUUUGUUUAUAUCAUGCUACUUAUAUCUAUUCAGUCUCUGUAGUGCAUUGUACUUGCAAUGUAUUUUCAAUUUAUUAAAUUGUGUAUCAUGGUCCUUAUAACCAUUCUGUUUAUUAGAUUGAACUUAAUCCCAAUAAUAUAUAUGCAAACUGAAUUGACCUUAUAAUUUUUGUUUAUUACUUCAAAAUCUAUUUUUGUGUUUUGUUUGUAUCAUGCUACCUAUAUUCAUUUUUUUUUCUGUAGUGCAUGGUACUUGUAAUGUAUUUUCAAUUUAUUAAACUGUGUAUCAUUGUACUUAUAACCAUUCUGUUUAUUAAAUGGAUCUUAAUCCCAAUAAUCUAUAUGAAUAGGCCGAUGAAAUGACCUUGGGUGAUGAGGUUCCAGUAGAGAUGAUAGACACGACAGAUGAUAGAAAAAAUAUUUGGGAUGACUAUUCAGAAGAGAAGUUCAUUUUGCUGAUGGGGGAGAGAGGUUAGGCAAGGAAAUUGUACUUAGUGAAACUUUUAACAAUGUUGGGUGAAGAAAGAUAACGGAAGGAAUGAUAGUUGAAAUAGGCAAGAGAUACACCAAUAAACAACUUAGAAAUAAAUUCAACCAAUUGAGGGCACUACACAAGGAUUUUAAAAAGUUGUUGUCUAAGACGAGUGUGGGCUAUAAUGCUGACAGUGGAAUGAUUAUAAUGGAAGAUAAGAGAUGGGAAAGGUUGACAAAGGUUCUUAAAUAUGGAAAAGAAAUUCGCAAUAAGGGUUGUAAGCACUUUGAGAAGUUGUCUGCCAUCUUUGGAGAGACACAUGCAUCAGGAUCUCAAGUCCAUCCUUCUACUAGAUCUCACACAACCUCGCAUGUCCCCACAAAUAUGGCUCACAUUAAUUCUCUUGAUGAUACUAUGAAUGAGGAAGGAAAUGAUGUAGAAGGUAAAGAGAGGACUCCAUCACCAGAACCUCGACCUAGGAAAGUUAACAAAUAUAGUUUUGCAUCCACAAUGUCUGUAGUUAUGAAAACCAUGAUUGAGAAUUCAAAGAGGAAAGCUGAGGCAAUAGAAAAAGCCAUAGCUGCUACCUCUUCCAAUCGUGUAGGAUCCCAUGAGGCAGGUGAUUGUAACUCUCCCACCCAAAGGGAGAAAGAGAAGGGAGAAGUGCAAAAUUGCAUUAGGGUUAUUACUUAUUUGGAAGGACUUGAUACUGCCCAUUAUAAUAAGGCCCUAGCGAUGUUCCAUGACUCAUCAUUGUGAAGGGAUAUCUUUCUUAGCAUUCCUGAUGAUAGGAAAGUGGGAUGGGUGAUGGGCCUGUAAGGACUUUCUUGACGUUCUUGGUUGAUGUUGUACUUCUUCAGUCGUGUGGUUGUUUUAAAACUUGGAUGACUGUAUAACUGUUAUUUCUUUUAUUUUCCCGGAUGACUGUAAUAACUAUGUUUAAUUUUUUUAUUGGAUGACUGUACUAACUGUUAUGUUUUAUAUAUUUGCUGUCUAAACUGUUAUGUUUUAUCUUGAUUGUUGUUUACUUUUGGUUUAAUUUUUAUCAUUUUUUUUAUUGCCUUUUUAAGCAUUCCUUAAUUGAUAUGUUACUAAAUGCUAUGUUUUAUUUAAUGCCCUUGUAAUUUUUUAUUUUCUUAUUAUAACUUGUAUGUCGUCAUGAUGUGAUAUCUUUGUUUUCCAUUAAAAUAGGUUUCUAUAUAUGAAUGUAAGGACCAUAAUUGAGUUGAUUGAUUCUGAUGAAGAAGACAACGAAAAUUUAUUGUUGAUGGACAUUGUGUUUAAAUAUUAUGUAAAGUACUACGAUAGACGACCAUGUAGGAUUCCUGUUUGAAAUGUCAAGACUACGUAAUAGAGGUUUUAACUGGUCACCCUGAUAGGUGCUAUGAGAACUUUAGGAUAUACCCCUUUGUUUUCAUUUCAUUGUGCGAGGAGUUGAAAUCUAUAGGAUUAAAACAUUCAAGAUUUUUAACUGUUCAAGAACAAGUUGCAAUCUUCCUACUUACACUGGCAUACAAUGAAAGGAACUGUGUGGUGGCCGAAAGAUUCCAGCAUUCAACUUGGACAAUUUCAGUACAUUUUCAUAUAGUCUUAAAUAAAGUUUAUGAGCUGGGCACGAAGUCAUUGUCCCCCCUGAAUUGACUGUCACUCCUCAAGAUAUUAGAUUCAAUCCUAAAUAUUACCCAUUCUUUAGAGAUUGUGUCGGAGCUAUAGAUGGAACCCACAUCCAUCCACACGUGCUGGUUGAUAUACAGAUUCCAUUUCGUGGGAGAAAAAAUGAUAAAACUCAAAAUGUCAUGCGUGUUUGCUCGUUUGAUAUGAAAUUCACUUAUGUACUGACGGGGUGGGAAGGGUCAACUAAUGACUUACGAAUUUUAAAUGAAACCAUGAACAAUGUGGAACUUCAAUUUCCAAGACCUCCUUUAGGUAAAAAUAAUUGGAAAGCCUUACGAGUUAUAUGUAAGUAUAAAAUAUAUUAUCAAGUUUUCUAAAAAGCUAAAAAUAAAUGCAGGGAAGUUUUAUUUGGUGGACUCCGGUUAUGCAAAUUAGCCAGUUUACUUGGCUCCGUAUCAGGGUCAACGGUAUCACUUACAAGAUUACCGUAGGAAUUCUAGAGGACCACGUGGUCGUGAAGAAGUAUUUAAUUAUAGAUACUCAUCGUUGAGGAAUGUGAUAGAGUGUUGUUUUGGUUUGUUGAAGAUGUGAUUCCCUAUUUUGAAGCAAAUGCCUGCAUUUCAUUUUCAUGCUCAAAAACUUAUUGUCAUAACUUGUUGUACAAUACACAAUUUUAUAAAAAUGCAGGGUUAGAGUGAUACUAUCUUUGAUGGUAAUGAGUUAGGGGAUGACCCAAAAUCUUCUUCUUCGCAAAGUGAGCCCUGUGUAGAGGUAAACGCUACGCAGAGUCAGUUACGAGUAAUGGAUCACGUCCGUGAUUGUGCAAUAUGGAGUCGUGUGCAAUGCUGUUGAGAAUAUCCAUUUCAACCUGACUUAUAUGACACUGGAUGACUGUAACUUUAUUAGUACUCUUAACCAACUUGAAUUGCUUUUAGUUUCACUUAUUAUAUUGCGGGAUGACUGACUGUAUGUAAUGUUGUAGUAUAUUUGUUGUAUUUGUGGCUCUUGUUGCAUGUUAACUCUAUUUAAUGAAUAUGAAGUCAUGUAUCAAGUACAGGGACCACCGUGUGCAUGUGGUAGAGGUCCCAUGAAUCUUUACAGGGUAGGAACUUCGAAAAAUAAUGGACAUUUCUUCUAUAGAUGUCCAGCAUGGGAGGUAUGGUUAAAUGUAUACAUCAUAGUUGCUAUGAUUAAAUGUAUACAUCAUAAUUGAUAUGAUUUAUUAUAUUGAAUAUGUUAUCAAAUUUCUUGUCAUAAUUAUACAUAUUUUUCAUUAUUGUAGUCACACCCACAUGCAUUCCUACGGUUGGAUGCUUUGCACCAAGGUGCACACGUUGAAGGAAAUAUGGAUGAUUAGUUGGAUGGUAUAAUUUUAGCAAUGCAAGCUGAACAAACUAAGCAUAAGUACAUGCUAUAUGGUGUUUGUGGGUGUAUUGCACUUACCAUACUAUUUAUGGUGGUUGGGAUGUUGUUCUUGCUCAUUGUUGUUGUUGAGAAAUAAUGUGUGUAAUAUAUUUACAUAUGAUAACUGUGACACUCAUUCGAUAUGUUUUAUUUUGGAACUGUAAUAUAUUAGAUAAAUAUUCUGAUUUUAGUAGGUUAUGCUUUUUUUUUGGGUCUGUAAUGCUACUUUAAAUGAGUUGAACAUGGUGGUAGUCAUUCUUUGGUUGCUGCUGUUUGGAACAAGUCUGAAAAAAGGUAUAUAUUUUCUAUGAUUUUGCCUUAAGUUGUUAUACAUUUAAAUGACUGUCUGCCAAUGCUCAUUCUCUUAUUAUUUUCGUGGGUAAUGCUACUACUUCUACUGAGUUAAACAUGGUGGUGGUCGUAAUUUAGUUGUUACUGUUUGGAACAAGUAUGAAAAAAAAAAAUAUUUUCUAUAAUUUUGCCUUAAGUUGUUAUACAUUUAAAUGAGUCUAUGUCAAUGGUAAUUUUCUUAUUUUUUUUUUUAUGGGUAAUGCUGCUACUUCUACCGAGUUGAACAUGGUGGUGGUCAUUAUUUGGUUGCUGCUGUUUGGAACAAGUUUGAAAAAAAGUAUACAUUUUUUUACAAUUUUGCCUUAAGUUGUUACACAUUUAAAUGAGUCCUUGCCAAUGGUAAUUUUCUUAUUUUUUUUUGUGGGCAAUGCUACUACUUCUACUGAGUUUAACAUGGUGGUGGUCAUUAUUUGGUUGCUGCUGUUUGGAUCAAGUCUAAAAAAAUGUAUAUAUUUUUUAUGAUUUUGCCUUAGGUUGUUAUACAUUUAAAUGAGUCUAUGCCAACGGUAAUUUUCUUAUUUUUUUGUGUGGGUAAUGUUACUACUUCUACUGAGUUGACAUGGUGGUGGUCAUUCUUUGGUUACUACUAUUUAGAACAAGUCUGAAAAAAGGUAUAUAUUUUAUAUGAUUUUGCCUUAAGUUGUUAUAUGUUUAAAUGACUAUAUGCCAAAGCUCAUUUUCUUAUUUUUUUUUGGGUAAUGCUACUACUUCUACUGAGUUGAUCAUGGUGGUGGUCAUUCUUUAGUUGCUGCAAUUUGGAACAAGUUUCAAAAAAUGUAUAUAUUUUCUAUGAUUUUGCCUUAAGUUGUUAUACAUUUAAAUGACUGUAUGCUAAUGCUCAUUUUCUUAUUUUUUUGGUGGGUAAUGCUACUACUUCUACUAAGUUGAACAUCGUGGCUUUGUUUGGUUUUGAUGAUGAAAAAGCUAAAGAGCUUGCCAAAUCUGUAAGUUUGGAGCUGGAAUUGUCAAUUGACUAGUUUCUCUUGAAAACGCUGAAACUUUCAAUUUUUUGUUAAAAGGAAAUCUAUGCAUUUCAAAUACCAAUAGAGGUACGUGUUAGUGACAUUUGAUUUUCUAGCUGAUGUGUUGUGGUCUCUCUUUUUUCCUUGAUCUAAACUUCAUUGCUUUAGAUAUUGGUUAAAUCUACAUUUAUUUAUGAGGACAAGCAUGCCAUUUACAAAUUGUGGUAUUUUUUUGAAACUUAAUUUGAAGUACCCUUGUGAUUAAUUAAAAUGAACCCUUUGUUCUUUAGCAUUGUAGAACAAGUUUCUUUUCUGGCCAAAGCUUCUUUGAGAUGUUUUAGGAGUUGCAGGUAAGAGGGGCAUUUGUGAGAUUGGGAAUGGUAUCAUCUUAUAUUUUUUUGGAUAACGGAUAAAAGGAGUUUGCUUUGAUAGUUAACUUUGUUUUUCACGGCAGUUAUGAUUCUUGUUUGUCAUUAUCAUAGAAUAUUAGAAUGUUAUUCCAGCUUUAUUAAGAUGGAUAAUACACAACAAGGUGAUAGGACUUGAGCCUUCUGGUCAUUAUCCAUGUCACAACUAUAAUAAGAUAGUUAGUUGAUGCAGUAAGUAGAGUUCUUAUGGGUGGAAAAAUAUCAACACACAUAUUAUGUAUGUAUGUAUCAAUGUCAUUAUAUUAGAAUAUUAGAAUUCGAUAGUUGUGAUUCUUGUUUGUCAUUAUCGUAGUCCAACAUUUAAAAAUUUGAUGUCUUCAUACAUUGCAUUUCCAUUAAAAAUCUAAUGUCUUCUUUGGGUAAUGCUACUACUUAUACUGAGUUGAUCUGCAACACGAGGAGUAGAACUUUGAAUGCAUGUUUUCUUGGCUGACAUGUAUAUGUUUCUGUCAUUUUGGUGAAGAAUAUCCUUGACUCACGAACUAACAACCAUUCUUGCUGUUAAAUUUGGUCGAGGUGAAGAUGGCAAAGGAACAACUUAUUAUUAGAAUAGAUAGUAUUCAGAAGGAUAUAACUGAGGUUGAGGAGGUGGCUACACGUUUGAAAGGAGAUCUCAAACUUUACUGUGUAUCUAGAACGUGUAAUGUUGUUGACCAUAAAUUUUGUAAAUGUUUUAUGUAACAAAUAGUUUACGACCUUGAGUGGCAUGUGUGGCCACCUUGCACUUUCUAUGGAUUAAUCUGUUACUUCAAAAUCUAUGCAAUUGGCUUUUUGAAAGGGAAAAUAACU